rnacentral:rRNA from 1 species
CUUGGUGCCACUUCCAGGAAGGCCACACCCGUUCCCAUCCCGAACACGGCCGUUAAGCUUCCUUGGGCCGAUGGUAGUGCGAUUGCGCGAGAGUAGGUGGGCGCCAGGA